CGGAACGGGUGAGUAAUGCGUGACCAACCUGCCCCAUGCUCCAGAAUAGCUCUUGGAAACGGGUGGUAAUGCUGGAUGCUCCAACUUGACGCAUGUCUUGUUGGGAAAGUGUUUAGUGGCAUGGGAUGGGGUCGCGUCCUAUCAGCUUGUAGGCGGGGUAAUGGCCCACCUAGGCUUCGACGGGUAGCCGGCCUGAGAGGGCGGACGGCCACAUUGGGACUGAGAUACGGCCCAGACUCCUACGGGAGGCAGCAGCG
rnacentral:rRNA from 1 species